CUCGUUUUGUCACUUCUCGUUUUCACCUGAACUACCUGGAUCGUGCACUAAAAAGAACUGUAAAUCGUUAUGUAUCUAUUCAGAAUUUUUAUUUUUACUUUUUGCGUCAUUGAAUAUAUUCAUUGUGAAGUGAUCCUGAAGCAGUCCGAAGCAGAACAGAGACAGCCCGGCCAGUCUCUCAAACUGUCUUGUUCGAUUUCUGGAUUCACUUUCAGUGGCACCACCUACUACCUGAACUGGAUCCGACAACCUCCGGGAAAAGGGCUGGAAUGGCUGGCAAAUGAAAGAGGAGAUAAAAGUUAUACGAACUACGCAAAUUCAAUUAAAGGGAGAUUCACCAUCUCGACGGACAGCAAUGGCGCAUAUCUGCAAAUGAACGCCCUGACAGCGGAUGACACGGCGGUGUAUUACUGUGCUCGAUCGUCACAGUGAUGCGUGUUGACUGCU